CUACGGGGUGCAGCAGUGGGGAAUAUUGCACAAUGGGCGCAAGCCUGAUGCAGCAACGCCGCGUGAGGGAUGAAGGCCUUCGGGUUGUAAACCUCUUUUAGCAGGGAAGAAGCGAAAGUGACGGUACCUGCAGAAAAAGCACCGGCUAACUACGUGCCAGCAGCCGCGGUAAUACGUAGGGUGCAAGCGUUGUCCGGAAUUAUUGGGCGUAAAGAGCUCGUAGGCGGUUUGUCACGUCUGCUGUGAAAAUCCAAGGCUCAACCUUGGACUUGCAGUGGGUACGGGCAGGCUAGAGUGCGGUAGGGGAGAUGGGAAUUCCUGGUGUAGCGGUGGAAUGCGCAGAUAUCAGGAGGAACACCAAUGGCGAAGGCACAUCUCUGGGCCGUAACUGACGCUGAGGAGCGAAAGCGUGGGGAGCGAACAGGAUUAGAUACCCGAGUAGUC
rnacentral:rRNA from 1 species